UCACAUCGUCCACGUGGCUGUCCCGGCCCCACCUCCGACUUUCAAAUUACCAAAACUACCCCUGUUCUUUCCCUCGUCUCUCUCUCACACACCGACAGACUCAAAAGAAUCACACACUGACUCUGAUCACUCUUUCAUUUGUGAGCGAGUCAUGACUCGGUUGGCUUAAAUGGCGAGUACAAGAAAGACUCGGGCUGACUCGCAGCGAUGUCCACGGAAGUUAACUUGAGUAGUGGAACUCACCACCUUCCCUUGGCUAAACGCCGUCGUUCCCGGAGCGUAAAUUUAUCUUUCACUCUCUUCAAUCUUUAUUAAUUAAUUUAACAUUUUGCAAUUGCUUGUGAAUUUUGGUUAAACUUAUUGGGUUUUGUAAGUUAUGGGUUGGGUAGGAAGAAUGCAUUUCGGCUUCACAAAUCAAAAUUUUCAACAAUACAUUUUGGUUUCUACCCUGCUCAUUACAAUUUUUACCAUAUAUGCCAUUAAUUUUACAGGGUUGGAUUCUAAUGAUGGUUGUACUUGCAUAAGUUUGGUCAUGAUAUUUCAUUGAAAUUCAUGAAAUUUUCAUGUAAAUCUCGCCAAUAGAAACAAAAAAAAAGUAAAUAACUGGUUACACUUAUUUAGGUUUGUUAUUUAUGUUUGGUUACCUGCAAUGUGAAAUGUAUGUGGUAAUAUUUGAAAUGUGAAGCCUUGCAUAUUGCAGUACAAUUAGAAAAUAUAUGAUAUUAAGAAAUUUUGAAUGAGGUUCAUUAGUUGUUCAAUACAUAGACUGUCAAGCAUGAAGUUGAAUGACCUGUGUACUAUUCUGCCGUUUGCUGCGUUGAGCAUGGGAUAUAGCUGUUUUAGUUACCUCAUAAACAUUUACUUCAGAGUUAGCUGUUUUAGCUGUGUUUUGGUAACUUUGGUGGAGAACAAUUAUAGAUAUUGCUGAUUUUGGGGGAGAGUAUUACACAUUCUGGUUUUUUACAACUUUUCAGAGUAAGCUGUUGACAAAUUUAUUAAUAUGAAAUGUGUUCUUGAAAUAUGUGCCGGGUGUCUUGGUGACAAAAAUGGACCAAAGCACUGGGUGAACUGCUGAAGGUAAGUUUGGAGAUUAGAUGUGAGCACGGAUGGACUUACUAGUUAGGAAUUUUUAAGGGACACAAAAUCUUAUUAACUAAGUUUGACCUGGUAGGACAACAUAUAUACAUAAAAUAUACAGUGGAUUCAUUAAAUAUAAAUAAUGUUUUAUCCUUCAAAAUUCCAAGCAUUUUUUUAUUUCUUAGAUCCUAAUAUGAGUGGUUAUCAGCUUCAAGACAGUUUUCUAUUUCUGAUUUCGAUGCUUGAUCUUUGUAAUUAUCAGUGUAUCUCUUGCAUACUCCCCUUGUACAUGGGUUGCACCUCUGCUCUUUAUUGAAUUAUUUACUCAUAAAGAAAAGGGUUUUGAAAGGUAGAGUCACAGUAUGCUAGAACUUCUGUAUGCAUCCUCCCAUGAUAAAGGAAAGGAAAUUCCAUGGACAUUCACUUCUUAUUGUGUCUUUUACAUUUAAGAAUGUGUUUUCGUUCUAUUGUAACCUAUCCAUAUGUUCUAUUGCCAAUUGAAUGAACCAUAUAUUUAUAGAAUAUAUCAAAGGUUUUCAUCAAAGGGUCCAAUUUUGAAAUUGAAAUGCAUGUUGAAAAUGUGGCCAAGAAAGCUGACUGGAAAUUUAACAUAUAUGAACAAUUUCAUGGUUAGGCGAGGAAAUGGUGAUUUUGAUAUGGCCUCAGGAGAACUUGCAACUAGUCGGACAGACGAAAAACAUGAGGUUGGUUUGUUCUAGAAGAUUUGCAGAUUUUUCACAAAUGAAAAUGAUAGUUUGAAACUUUCCGUUGGUCAUACCUAUGUUACCAAGCUUUAGGGGGUGGUUUUUGGGUUAUGCAUUUGUACAAAUUUGGAAUUUCAUUCUGCCUCCUUAUUGUAAUUUCCUUUUGGUCAUAUUCAAAUCAAUUUUCCUUCCUUUUGGGUUACACUCUUCCUUUCUUCACAGAUAUGUAGAUGUAGAUAGUCUUUUAUUCUCCAGCGGGUUCAUUAACAGCAUUUUAAUAUAAUGGGUGGAAAUUUAGAGAAGCAAUGUUUUCAAAAUCUUAUUGUCAGUUGUAGGGGAUGAAAACCUUAGUGCAAAAAGUUCUCAUUCACUUGCAGAAGCAAUGCCAGAAGAUGCUCGAUAUUGUGAUAACAACCUCUAUGGAACCAUUGACAUUUAUCUCAAGAUAUUAUCAAACUACAGCCGAUCAAAGAUUAUUGAGAGGUAAACCAGUUGCUAUGUUUCUUGAAUUUUAGCAGUGAUGUGUUAAGCUGUGCUAACAAUUAUUUUUUCAUUUUAAUUUAUUCUUCCUUUUUUCUUUGCCCAAGCUAUAUCCAUUCAGUUUCUGAUUAGGAAUGAUUAAUUGCUGUUUGCUACAAGUGCUCAAGCAUUCUAACGAAACUGCCAACUUUCUGAACAGUUAUUUAUAAAAUAUUGUUCUUUACUUUUGUAAUGUAUCUGGGUAUACUGUAUUGAGUAUUAACUGACGCGUGGUAUUUCAUUAGCCCAGCUCGCACGCAAAUACAUAUUUCAUAAUAAUUGAGUAAAAUGACUUUCUAUGAAUCAUAAUUAUUUCACUUGGGAACUUAAUGAUGUAAUCUAUAUGUACUUCAUUAUUUACCUGUUGUUUCUUUCAUUGUACAAUUUAUCUUCUAUUCUUACCAUUGAGGUUCCAUUUUGUAGGGAAUGUUUAGAGCCAUUCAAAAAACCAGAAUGUGAAGCAUUUGAUAUCUUUGUUAAUGAGGUUCUCUUGUUGGCAAAAGUGCUGCUGCAUUCAUUUUAUUCUAAAAUACACUUGAUGGAUCUAUUCUUACCAUAUUGCUUGCACAUACCUACCACCAAAAGGGACACUCCUGGUCAUUAUCAUGUGCACAAAGUACUCUUUUGCUAUUCUACCCAUUUUUGAAGAUCAUAAGCUACUCCCUCUAUUGAGGACCUGUUCAGGCUGAGGGUUUUAAAAAAAAAAAAAAAAAUACUCAGCACUAACAUCUGCACAAUUUGAAACACAUAAGCCACUUACUGGAAAUAUCCAAUGAAAUUUUAGAAAUAUAACUUCUUUUCAUGUCUCUUAAUUUUGUGCUAUUAUGCAAAUUUGGUCAACUGAGAAAUGCCUGUUCAAUCUUAUGACCAUAUUCUAAAAUUUUUAGUAAUUAAAAAAUUACUACAUCAAAUGAUUAUCAACCUUUCAGGAUGAGUGUACAGCCAUAUUUGUGAAAAUCACUUUAUAAAAAUAAUUUUCCAUUUGAUGGUUAUCAUUUAACUUAUUUUUCCAAUCAAAAUGUGAUAUCUUUUGUUUUUCCUCUCCCACUCAUCUAUGCAAUUUUUGAAUCCUCUGCAGGGUGUCCAUAUUCAUGUGUAAAAAGGGCACUUCAUUCCUUUUCAUUUGCUUCUACUGGAAGUGCUAGGGUGUCUUCACAAGGUUGAGAGCUUAUAUCCUAAAUAGAAGAAUUCGAAGAAAGGCACAUGUUGCCAGUUUGGCUUUUUUUCAUAAAAAAAAGUUUCCAGUUUGGUAGUUCCAAUAGUAUUAUAAUUAUUAUCAUGAAUUUGAUCCACUGAUAUUAAUUAAAUUUCAAAACAUCUGUGCAUAUGACUAGGUCAUGAUGAAGACUACCAAGUUUAGCCCGCAGUAGGUCAGUGCCCAAGAAUUUGUAUCCAUUAUGUUACGCCUUCGCAGUGAUAUCUUAGAGGAACUACUACACAGUAUCUUGAGCAUGCCUUAUAAUUCAUCAGUCGAGGCAGAAUUGCUUUAUUCUUUUAUAGUUAAAGCCAAGUUUGAGAACAAUCGUUACCUAAAGCUGAAGAAGCAACCCAAAACUUCAACCCAACAUGUUGAUUGGUUUUAACAUUUGAAUGGCUGCAAACUCAUGGCCAAUCACACCUAGAUUAUUGGAGAAAAUGGAAGUUGAUGUUGCUUAUAUAUGCCUCCAAUCAUCUAUGUGAAUGCUGAAUAUUGGUGGUGAUUAUUUAACUCAUCAUUGAUCUGACUCGCUGCUUGGAGGUGCCUUCUUGUAAAGUGCAUGCACAUUGAAAAACAAUCCUGGGUAAUAAUUUGUCUGCUAAGGAGAUGUGUAAAAUCCUUUUCUUCCCCCCACACCUCCACCCGUUGGGAGCUGGGGGAGGGGGCGUUGAUUGGAUUUAUGUUAAUGGCAUGUUUAUGUAGAUAGUUUACAUUAUAUUUUUGUUAUUGUUACAUAAUCUACCAUAUUUUUCGAAAGGAAGUUCAGUAAAUACUAAAAAUUGCUGUGAUAUCAAUUGAUUA